rnacentral:tRNA from 1 species
GCCCCUAUAGCUCAAUGGUAGAGCAGUCGCCUAGAUAGCGAAAGGUCCUCAGUUGAGAUCCGAGUGGAGGCA